CUCCUCUAUGCCCCGCCUUUCUGAAACGCAGAUUCAGACAUUUGGUGCGUGUGCUUGGCUGAGGAGCCACUGGUGCAAAGCUACCAUCUGUGGGAUUAUGACUGAACGCCUCUAAGUCAGAAUCCCCCUAACAG